GGACUACCGGGGUAUCUAAUCCCGUUUGCUCCCCUGACCUUCGUGCCUCAGUGUCAGUAUCUGUCCAGAGAUUCGCCUUCGCCACUGGUCUUCCUCACGAUAUCUACGCAUUUCACUGCUACACCGUGAAUUCCAAUCUCCUCUCCAGCACUCUAGUGAAACAGUAUUGAAUGCAGUUCCGGGGUUAAGCCCCGGGAUUUCACAUCCAACUUAUUCCACCACCUACGCACCCUUUACGCCCAAUGAAUCCGAACAACGCUUGAGACCUCUGUAUUACCGCGGCUGCUGGCAC
rnacentral:rRNA from 1 species